rnacentral:lncRNA from 1 species
GUCACUGCGGUGGGAUGGGACGAGCACUGCUAUGGCAAAGCAACUGGGGGAGAAGGAGGAAAUCAAGCUGUUGCUGCUGCACAGCAUUUAUCUGACAGAGAGACGCUGAGGCAUCGCUGUCAGCUAACCAGUCUGAUGGUGGUAGAUCACAGGUCAGGGCUGUUGCCAGGAAGGUUGGUGACGUUAUUCAGAGGCUGCUGAUAUCCAGAGUCCAGCGAGAGGGAAGCAGAAAAGGAACGGCCGCUGAAGGACUGUGUGGCCUACUUAAGGAGGAAAGGACAGGCAUAUCGGUAAGUUUGAGACCACUUAUUCAAAAUGCAAUUACAUUAGUCCGAUACAAAGAAAAAUACAUAAACAAACAGAAAAGGAAAAUUAGGAAGCUUGGCUGGAGUGCCAGCAAAAGGCAUCUCCAUUAGGCUCCCACUUCAUCGUGUGAAUAUUUCUCCACAGGGUAAGUCCCAGGAGCAAAGCAGCACAGGGUAGCCUGCAAAAAGGAGAGGUUCAGAUAAUACAUUGUCUUAAAGCUAACCCUCUGAAGAUUCAUUCACCAUUUACAGUCACGUUUAUCUGUCUAAAAUCUCCCUUUUUGGUCACUUUGUGCAGGUAGCAAAGUUCUGGUUUAUUCAGAGGACCAUGCAUUAAUCUUUCAAGGGGAGACACAGUAGUAGGGUCGUAGUUGGCCUUUUUCUGAGCCUUCUGAAUCUCUUCAUUCAGUGUGUCGGCCGCAAUGAAACAUCUCACGCUGAGCAUCAGCUGUGGCAUCUAAAUUGUAUUGAUGAAGCCUCUACGUAGCUAAUUAUUUGAUACACAAGUUAGUGCUAAUGUUUUUGUGGAAACAGCAUUAUUUACAGGCUUCUGUAUCAGAUCCUUGUUCACGUGUUCAGCUGAGAACACUGUUUUCAGCUCUUUUUUUCUGGCAGAAUAGAAAGCCUGUAUGCUGAUGGAGUAUUUUGCUUUGAUCCAGAAGAAAGUGUCUGUAAAAAUCAAAAAUAAAAUGUUUACUAACUUUUCA